rnacentral:rRNA from 1 species
AGUAACGACGUGCGGGCGAUGCUACUACAUGCAAGUCGAACGGCAGCACGGGAGCAAUCCUGGUGGCGAGUGGCGAACGGGUGAGUAAUAUAUCGGAACGUGCCCAGUCGUGGGGGAUAACGCAGCGAAAGUUGUGCUAAUACCGCAUACGAUCUAUGGAUGAAAGCGGGGGAUCGCAAGACCUCGCGCGAUUGGAGCGGCCGAUAUCAGAUUAGGUUGUUGGUGAGGUAAAAGCUCACCAAGCCUGCGAUCUGUAGCUGGUCUGAGAGGACGACCAGCCACACUGGAACUGAGACACGGUCCAGACUCCUACGGGAGGCAGCAGUGGGGAAUUUUGGACAAUGGGGGAAACCCUGAUCCAGCCAUUCCGCGUGUGCGAUGAAGGCCUUCGGGUUGUAAAGCACUUUUGGCAGGAAAGAAAUCGUGUGGGUUAAUACCCUGCGCGGAUGACGGUACCUGGAGAAUAAGCUCCGGCUAACUCCGUG